rnacentral:rRNA from 1 species
UACAGAGGUCUCAAGCGUUGUUCGGAAUCACUGGGCGUAAAGGGUGCGUAGGUGGCGUGGCGAGUCAGAUGUGAAAUCCGGAGGCUCAACCUCCGAAUAGCAUCCGAUACUCCCAUGCUAGAGAACUGGAGGGGGAUCUGGAAUUCUCGGUGUAGCAGUGAAAUGCGUAGAUAUCGAGAGGAACACUAGUGGCGAAGGCGAGAUCCUGGACAGUUUCUGACACUGAUGCACGAAGGCCAGGGGAGCGAACGGG